ensembl:rRNA 5S_rRNA 5S ribosomal RNA
GUCUAUGGCCAUACCACCCUGAAUGCACCUGAUCUCAUCUAACCUCAGAAGCUAAACAGAAUAGGGCCUGGCUAGUACUUGGAUUGAAGAAAAAAUCUGAAGUAUUAAAAACC